GAUCAUGGCUCAGGAUGAACGCUAGCGACAGGCUUAACACAUGCAAGUCGAGGGGCAGCACGGGAGUAGCAAUACUUUGGUGGCGACCGGCGCACGGGUGAGUAACGCGUAUGCAACCUACCUAUCAGAGGGGAAUAACCCGGCGAAAGUCGGACUAAUACCGCAUAAAACAGGGGCACCGCAUGGUGAUAUUUGUUAAAGAAAUUCGCUGAUAGAUGGGCAUGCGUUCCAUUAGGUAGUUGGUGAGGUAACGGCUCACCAAGCCGACGAUGGAUAGGGGAACUGAGAGGUUGGUCCCCCACACUGGUACUGAGACACGGACCAGACUCCUACGGGAGGCAGCAGUGAGGAAUAUUGGUCAAUGGGCGGGAGCCUGAACCAGCCAAGUCGCCGUGAAGGAAGAAGGAUCUAUGGUUCGUAAACUUCUUUUGCAGGGGAGUAAAGUGCAGGACGUGUCCUGUUUUGUAUGUACCCUGAGAAUAAGGAUCGGCUAACUCCGUGCCAGCCGCCGC
rnacentral:rRNA from 1 species